AAUGCACCAAUUUGUAAGUCACUCUGGAUAAGAGUGUCUGCUAAGUGAAUGUAU
rfam:Salmo salar isolate Sally breed double haploid chromosome ssa01, whole genome shotgun sequence.